GAAGCUUGCUUCUCUGAUGUUAGCGGCGGACGGGUGAGUAACACGUGGAUAACCUACCUAUAAGACUGGGAUAACUUCGGGAAACCGGAGCUAAUACCGGAUAAUAUUUUGAACCGCAUGGUUCAAAAGUGAAAGACGGUCUUGCUGUCACUUAUAGAUGGAUCCGCCGCUGCAUUAGCUAGUUGGUAAGGUAACGGCUUACCAAGGCAACGAUGCAUAGCCGACCUGAGAGGGUGAUCGGCCACACUGGAACUGAGACACGGUCCAGACUCCUACGGGAGGCAGCAGUAGGGAAUCUUCCGCAAUGGGCGAAAGCCUGACGGAGCAACGCCGCGUGAGUGAUGAAGGUCUUCGGAUCGUAAAACUCUGUUAUUAGGGAAGAACAUAUGUGUAAGUAACUGUGCACAUCUUGACGGUACCUAAUCAGAAAGCCACGGCUAACUACGUGCCAGCAGCCGCGGUAAUACGUAGGUGGCAAGCGUUAUCCGGAAUUAUUGGGCGUAAAGCGCGCGUAGGCGGUUUUUUAAGUCUGAUGUGAAAGCCCACGGCUCAACCGUGGAGGGUCAUUGGAAACUGGAAAACUUGAGUGCAGAAGAGGAAAGUGGAAUUCCAUGUGUAGCGGUGAAAUGCGCAGAGAUAUGGAGGAACACCAGUGGCGAAGGCGACUUUCUGGUCUGUAACUGACGCUGAUGUGCGAAAGCGUGGGGAUCAAACAGGAUUAGAUAC
rnacentral:rRNA from 1 species